UACGUAGGUGGCGAGCGUUGUCCGGAUUUACUGGGCGUAAAGGGAGCGUAGGCGGACUUUUAAGUGAGAUGUGAAAUACUCGGGCUCAACUUGAGUGCUGCAUUUCAAACUGGAAGUCUAGAGUGCAAGAGAGGAGAAUGGAAUUCCUAGUGUAGCGGUGAAAUGCGUAGAGAUUAGGAAGAACACCAGUGGCGAAGGCGAUUCUCUGGACUGUAACUGACGCUGAGGCUCGAAAGCGUGGGGAGCAAACAGG
rnacentral:rRNA from 1 species